rnacentral:rRNA from 1 species
AGUGAACGCUGGCGGCGUGCCUAAUACAUGCAAGUCGAACGGAGUGGCGCACGGGUGAGUAAUAUAUAGCUAAACUGCCCCCUGCAGGAGGAGAACAGUUAGAAAUGAGUGAUAAUACUCCAUAGCAAGGGAGGGGACCAUAUCGUAUCAGCUAGGCGGGGGGGUAACGGCCUACCGAGGCUAUGACGCGUAACUGGUCUGAGAGGAUGAUCAGUCACAUUUGAACGGAGACACGGUGCGAACUCCUACGGGAGGCAGCAGUAUGGAAGAAUGCGCCAUGGGGGGAACCCUGACGCAGCUACGCCGCGUGUGGGAUGACACUUUUCGGAGCGUAAACUCCUUUUAUUAGGGAAUCGGUACCUAACGAAUAAGCACCGGCUAACUCCGUGCCAGCAGCCGCGGUAAUUC